CUGCUCUGUAUGACAGCAUGUAUAUUAAAAUUUGGAAUGACAGAGAGAUUAUCACAGCUCUUGCCCAAGGAUGACACAUAGAUUCAGAAAACAUUCCAUAUUUAA